rnacentral:rRNA from 1 species
UACGAAGGGGGCUAGCGUUGCCCGGAAUCACUGGGCGUAAAGCGCACGUAGGCGGUCUUUUAAGUCAGGGGUGAAAGCCCGAGGCUCAACCUCGGAACUGCCUUCGAUACUGGCGAUCUUGAGUCCGGGAGAGGUGAGUGGAACUCCGAGUGUAGAGGUGAAAUUCGUAGAUAUUCGGAAGAACACCAGUGGCGAAGGCGGCGCACUGGCCCGGUACUGACGCUGAGAUGCGAAAGCGUGGGUAGCAAACAGG